rnacentral:rRNA from 1 species
UACGUAGGGUGCGAGCGUUGUCCGGAAUUAUUGGGCGUAAAGAGCUCGUAGGCGGUUUGUCACGUCUGCUGUGAAAUCCCGAGGCUCAACCUCGGGCCUGCAGUGGGUACGGGCAGACUGGAGUGCGGUAGGGGAGAAUGGAAUUCCUGGUGUAGCGGUGGAAUGCGCAGAUAUCAGGAGGAACACCGAUGGCGAAGGCAGGUCUCUGGGCCGUAACUGACGCUGAGACGCGAAAGCGUGGGGAGCAAACAGG